GACGAACGCUGGCGGCGUGCUUAACACAUGCAAGUCGAACGGAAAGGCCCUGCUUUUGUGGGGUGCUCGAGUGGCGAACGGGUGAGUAACACGUGAGUAACCUGCCCUUGACUUUGGGAUAACUUCAGGAAACUGGGGCUCAUACCGGAUAGGAGCUCCUGCUGCAGGGUGGGGGUUGGAAAGUUUCGGCGGAUGGGGAUAGACUCGCGGCUUAUCAGCUUGUUGGUGGGGUAGUGGCUUACCAAGGCUUUGACGGGUAGCCGGCCUGAGAGGGUGACCGGGGCCAUUGGGACUGCGAUAGGGCCCAGAGUGCAACGGGAGGCAGCAGUGGGGAAUCUUACACAGUGGGGGGACGCGUGAUGCGAAAACGCCGCGUGCGGGAUGUCGGCCUUCGGGGUAUGAACCGCUUUCGCCUGUGACGAGGCGUGAGUGACGGUAAUGGGUAAAGAAGCACCGGCUAACUACGUG
rnacentral:rRNA from 1 species